rnacentral:rRNA from 1 species
CCUACGGGAGGCAGCAGUGGGGAAUAUUGGACAAUGGGGGGAACCCUGAUGCAGCGACGCCGCGUGAGUGAAGAAGUAUUUCGGUAUGUAAAGCUCUAUCAGCAGGGAAGAAAGAAAUGACGGUACCUGACUAAGAAGCCCCGGCUAACUACGGACCAGCAGCGGCGGUAGGACGUAGGGGGAAAGCGUUAUCCGGAUUUACUGGGUGUAAAGGGAGCGUAGACGGUUAAGCACGUCUGGAGUGAAAGGCGGGGGCCCAACCCCCGGACUGCUUUGGAAACUGUAUAACUGGAGUGCAGGAGAGGUAAGUGGAAUUCCUAGUGUAGCGGUGAAAUGCGUAGAUAUUAGGAGGAACACCAGUGGCGAAGGCGGCUUACUGGACUGUAACUGACGUUGAGGCUCGAAAGCGUGGGGAGCAAACAGGAUUAGAUACCCCAGUAGUC